GUCAGCUUUCUGUAACUUACCGUGUUGCUUCAGUCGCUCUCCGUCACCCUCCCAUGGCCCCUAUGCCCCAUCUCCGCUGGCUUCCCCGGGUGACAUCAUGCCACAUUCCUUAGGCCCCCCCACAUUUAUUUUCUCCUAGAAAACUAGUUCUUCUUCCAAAGAAAGUGAACGAGCUAAGUUAACACCAUUUACCGUCGAUGAAGUUGCGUUGCAGUGUAUCUGUGUUUCCAUUAAGCACCCAUAUCCUCGCACCCUACGCUGCAGAAAGAAUGCAACUUAAUUUUUUUUCUGUCUUCUACCAUGUCGUUCACUACUACUCUUGUCCCUCUUCACCUCACAGAAACAUUUACAUCCUCUCUCAAGGACUCAGGCAUUUAAGCUGAGAGCUGCAUCAACUCCUACAAUGAAAAGCCGCCAAGCCCCAAGUCAGAGUCAAGGCUCUCCCAAAAAUUCUCACUGCCACAGCUGAAGGCAUUGCCGUCACCGGCUGUCUCUGCCACCUCCUCAUGACUACCCUAAAGCGGACUCGAUAAAAGAAACUAUUUCCAGCCCUUGCAAUUCACAGUUUUCAUGCACUAGUUUCUGAAGAUGCCCAUGAAGGCAGCCAAACAGAGGAAUUAUGCACGAUGUGAAAAACAUCACUUGAGAACAACACAGUAGACGUACUGCAUCUGAUCAACUCAUCAAUAUAACUGGACAUUUUGCCUCCAGCAGGGACCAAGAGAAGGCAUUUGGAAAACAGUGCAAUCCAUGAAAACUAUCGGUUUUUCUCCUGGCUUCUGGCAGUUACUGGAGCAAGUAAUUAUUCUAUCUUCUCCUUUCUCCAUCACACUCCCUAAUUUAAUCUCAUAUAAGAUGAAUGUGUCUCUAUGUUGCUGAUCCUUCUUGUUUCUCUUUAUAAUUUUUCAAAUAAUUCUCUGUUAGUUUCUGGGACUGAAGAAGCAGAACUGUCAGUGUUACUCAGCAUGUGGGUAUAGUAUAUACAAAAGACAUAAAGGAUGUUUUCUGUUUUGUUCUCACUCCCAACAAUAAAAAUUCCCAAUAUUUUACUUGACUUAUUUAAAAGUCCUAAGCGCCAUGCACAACGGUUUCAAAAGCUAUUUCCAAAGUGGUAGCAAUUAAUUGUUCUGUUACAGAUAAUAUAGGAUUACUCUCCCCCCAGUACACUACUUUGCAUUUUUCAGUACCAUCAGGUAUUUUACUGUGUAAUUUAAAGUAGGAUCACACAAACUUCAUCACCUCUUUCCCCGUGUCUUCAAUGACAGCUUUGAACAGCACAGAAGGUCCAAGCAGAAAUGGUACGAAGAGCACACUAGUAAUUAGUAACCUCUCUCAGUCACGACUAUCAGUUGACUACCAGCUUUACCUCUUUGUCUCCUUCUACCUUUCAGCUGUUCAUUGAUUCUGAAUGGCAUCUGAACAGCUUCUCAACCCAUGAGAAAUUAGCUUUAUAAAAGUACUUAAUGUUUACAGUAAACACGUGGUCAACAUAUUUGUUGUUUCAGGUUUCUCCAGAGAUAGUUGUGUAACACCAUUAAGGCCAAGCCUGAAAAAUUUAGGGGGAAGUUAAAAUGGCAUGUGCUAGGUAAUGGCCAUUUAUAUUGUUUUCCAGCAUAUAUUAACUAAACAGUCUCACUUUACUAGUAUAUGUUGAUAGCCCAUGCUAUUCUGGUUUUGUAUAAUAAUGUUACUUUUAAUUUUUGUUCCAUUAUAUGUGCUUAUGCGUAUGCAGGCAUAUCCAUCUCGUGCACACACAGCAUUUUCUGCUGAGAUCCUCCCCAGCUAAAAACCAUUAGAACUGACACCAUGAUUGCAGAUUUCACUGUUAGAUGAGAUCAUCUUUACAGCCUUCUUACGUAAUCCAGGUCUUACUGUCAUCUUACAACACAUUUUUGUUUGACAUGUUGAUUUAGUAGAAACAUCAAUUCCCACUGCAAGUGCCUGUGUCCCAUCCCCUUGCUUUAACACCAGUAACUUGUACCUGUUCAAAGUGCCAGAUUCUCCUUACUGUCUCCAAAGGUGGAUGGAAACUGUGGUGCUGUGAUUCAAACAGGAGUGUGUGGAUGUGUCUGGCUUAGCCCAGCCCCAUCAGGUAUCUGUGCCAUCGACCUGUCCUGAGUCUCUCCUCACCACGGGUGUAUUGCACCCAUCGCACAGGUGUGCUGUAGGGUUUUGACUCAAAAGCCACAUCAGCCCAGGCUAAAACAGAUCUAAAAGGUCUUAAUAUGAUUUAAAGAUUUAAAGUGGUAGAGGAUCUACUACGUCCCUUAUUCCUGUGGACUUUGUAACCCCACAGAAAAUGUAAGCUAUCUGUUUCUUGAACAUGACAGGGUCUUUGGGUACAAUGAGAAAUUAAAAUUCAAGUCAAUGCUGUUAUAAAAAGCUGAGGGAAAUAAGUAAUAUGGAUAUUAGAGGCAGUCAGAAGAAUGGCUGUAUUUUUUGAGACAAACCAAUCAAUGAGGAAAACAGCACUCCAUAUCCAAAGCAUCUUCAUAGUUUUUGAUCCAAUCAUUGUCUUCCUUGACCACUCUCUCUGCCUUAAGUCAGCAGUUGUUUCAAGGGAGAAAAUAAUUUAACCAAAAUGAAAAGCAUAGGGAUACUCUGUUAAACUUUCCAGGAAUUUGCAUGUAGAGCCAUACUUAAAAUGUUUAAUUGUACAGCCUCUUAGCUUUACUUUUCCUAUAAUGACCAAAAAAGACCAAACGAAAAGAGAACAAUAGAAAAAAAACCAACACUUUCUCUUUUUUACUCUCUGUGAGUUGAAAAAGUAACUUAGCAAAAACAUAAAUAUUUCUUUUAACGUAAAAGCAAAUAAGCCAGACCAGCCUCAGAACAAGGGAGACUACAAAUACAAACACAGUGACUGCUGACAGUGUUGGUUCUUGAAUGAGCACUUCAGUUGAGGCAGAUGGAAUGAUUCACUUAAGCUCACUGAAGUCUGUCCAGGAGAGAGGAGUUAGUUCAGGAAUGGCCUCAGUGCAUCACAGCCUUCUCAUUAUUCACUAGGUGUCUUGAACAAUAUAAUGCUUCUGCUUCCUAAAUUUAGCAUGUAAACCUUUACUACGGUGGAAUAGAAAAGAGGAGUAUUUAAAAUCUUGAAGUAAAUCACUGAAAUUACUUUCUCCAUCCCUAAGCCAAGAGUAAACCUCUGCAUGAAAUGACAGAAAGAUGCUGUAUCAAUAUAAGCUAAAAGACGGCCCAUAACAUUAGUUAUACAGCAAACCAUGUGUCUGAGAGCAGUUAUUUGAAAAAUGUAAGGUUGAACCCAAAGCCUUUCUCAACAGGCACAAAGCCAAAAUUAGUCAGGGAGUGAUGCUUUUUUGCACAAAAGGGUGUGAAGUAAAGAGGAUUGAGAGAGCAGUGCAACAAACAGUAUUUGGAGACAGUUUACAAAGAGAAAAAAUGUAUAAAUAGCUGAUUUUAUAUAAUGUGUUAUUUGUUAUAAGAGCUGAAUAUUUGAGAGCAAGCCACAUGAAGACUAAAUACUUUCUCAUAUUCCUGGUGUCAAAAAAUCUUGUGUGGCAAGGAAACAGCAGCACAUCUCCUGAUCUCCAGACAGCAUGGGAACAGAAUUCAGACCCUCUGUCCUCUUGUUUAGUAUGCAUCAUGAAAAAAAAUCACCUCCCUUUCUCCUUUCCCUCUACAUAUAUACAUACUGAUAUUUUGGGGAGUUUUUCAGAAAACCAAAAAUACAGGCUUUCCAAAAAAUCUGUCAAAUAAUGGCAGCAGAGAUGACAGUUACAUUAAUAUGGAAUUACUAUUCAUAUUCAUAUCAAAUGCAGUUGUAGAUGUAAUAUCUUUAUUUAUUGGUUUCAUAUAAAUUUCCUUCCUAAAGCUCAGGCAUUUACCAUGAGUCAUGACAGAAGUAUAUAAAAUCUUUUCCUGAAGGAAAUCUUAUUGAAAUAGAACUGUGUAUUUGCAUUUGUCAGAAUGCAUUUACUUAGCAUAUGAAAUCGUGUCAUGGCAAAAGUCAUCACGGUCUUUUUUUUUAAUUGGUGAAAUGUCAAGACCUGCUGACAGAAGUUUACAGCUGGCUAAAAACAGGGAAGAAAACUUUCAUCACUGGAUUCAUUACAGGUAAUGAUCACUUAAUUCAAGAUUCCUGUUCAUAAGCAUUUUUAAGGAUUAAUUUUGUCUGUAAUUUUGCUUAUCUGCAUUCCAGGUUCUUAGCUGAAGAGCAGUGCUUAUGAUGCAAAUCACACCAUUUGAAUCUGAUAAUAUUUGCAAUUGCACUGAAUUGAUACUCUGUUUUUAAGUCACAUACAGAAACAUUUUAUUGUUUCCUGCAUAUGGGGAAGUGUAUUUUUUCAGGUAAGAUCUGUAUACAAACUGACUUUUAGGAAUUCUUUUCUGGUUUAAAGAUACAAUGCCAGCACUGAAAUCCAAAUGAGGUUCAAAUUCACGUGUCAUCAAAUUUUAUUAAUUUCACUGGCACUACAGCCACAAGUCAUUGGAUCUUAAAUGAUUUGAUUUCCUGCUGUGUGAAGCUGCAAGAGGGAGCAACAAUCAGACACCCAGCAGAGCUUCCCAUGGAGCACUGGCAGUGGUCUUGCAUAUUGACCUAAUAGCCUAGGAGGAUUUCUUUGAUGGUGAAGAAGGUUAAACUGUGUGUUGAUUUCAGAGAGGAGAUAAAUCUCUACGAGGGAUGUACUAUGAGAAUAUCAAAUUAAUUUGCGCUUUUAUCUAUGCCACAUGGUUUGAUUACAAAUGGGAGGAUUUUCUCCUGCAUCUAACACAUAUUUUUACGAAUUUUUCUUCUGCAAAGUGAAUUGCAAUUGUAUAUCCCAAGCUUCUGGGAUAAGUCUUACCCUUUCUUAUUUUCCUUGAGGAAAUUAUGUCCAAGGAUCGAUGAUACAUAGCAAAAGCUUAGAUUUAAAAAUACAGUUAAGAAAAAUAUAUGACCAUCCUUUUGUUUGGUAUAUAGUUAUCCUAUGUGAUUGUGUUACACAUACAUGAAUAAUAUUUGCCUCUGAAUGUAUUGUGAUGUUAUAUUUUGAAGCUAAUAUUAUUUGUUCUCUGUCACACAAAUAACACAGAUGGAUCCCAUUUCCUUUAUGUUUACUGAAAGAAGCACAAAAACUGUCAUGCACACAGGCAAGUGUUUUCUCUGUGAACAGUUACAGAAACUUCUCAAUGCACUUCCUCUGAGUCCAAGCUUUCCUCAAGGAUUGUGCCUGAGGCUUGCCCUCACUGUCUCUCAGCCAUUUGGAAGACACCUAUAAAAAGAAGCACUACCCAGACAUUUCCCAUGAAGAAACCUCCUAGUACCUCAGUCCAUGGGUCAGGAGAGGACAAGGAGGCUGAGAUAGUCUGCAACCUUUUGGUUCCUGUUCAGGCCAAGAGAUCUAGACUGUUACCUUAGGCAGGUAGCAACAGUGCUUAGGUUCUUCCAAAGAAUCAGCAUUGCCUUUUAUCACAACUGGGUUUUGAUCUGCUGGGGAGUACAGAAGAGACAAGAAUUCAGGACACAGCCCUUCAGUCAGAGAGGUGACUGUGCUUUCUAAUAGCUUCCUGAUUAAAUAAUUUUCUAUAAGAGAGUCAAAACUACUCUUAGCCUAAAAGAAAAGGCACAUGGAAAGAGUAAUGAUACAAAGUGCUGAUUUUCUUCACCUUUUAUAUUCCAGUAUAAGAGAGAUAUGUGCUUCAUGCACUCAAGAGUAUUAUCUCUCCUCUGUCAAAGACACAAAUUCUGGAAAAUUACUUUGGUGGAAAGCACACACAAGUUGACACUUCAAUGAAAAAAUGCGUGGAUAGCAAAAGAUGCAAUAAUCUCUCUGAAUUUAUGCACAUAUAUCCAUUCCAUCCUGCUAGUCUAUAACACAUUCAUUUUAUGAUUAAUUUAAAGAACUGUAAGGUCUGAACUUUUUUUUUUUUCCUAAAGGAACAGGGAGAAAUAAAGUACUUGGCAAUGGUUCCACUUAGAAUGUUGUAGCACUAUGUAGGCUUAGGCCAAAUUGUACCCAAUAUAGCCCUGCUAAAAUGACUGGAACAGAACAUGAUGUUUCAAAAAUAAAGAGAUUGCAUUUAUUUAGAACACUUGAAUGCGUGUUAAUUAAGUGUAUUUCCACUCUGCUCAAAUCAUGGGUUUAGUUCAAAUAACUUUCAUUGAUUUUACAUUACAGGACUGUCAUUAGCAUUUGCUAACUGAGUCAAGUUUCGAUGGUAAUAGCUUUUCUUCAGGAAUUAUUUAUACACUGACAGGAAAACUACAUCCUUCUCUGAUAUCUUGAGAGUCUCAAUGCAAACAGAAGUUAUUUCAGUUCUUUGUAUAUUUUACAUAUCUUACUGUCAAAUUCAAAAAAAUGGGGUCUGUGAAUGGUUUCUGUAAAUUAUAAUGGUAGUACAAUGAAAAUGCUAGUGUAUUUUGAAAUCAAGUUCUGCUGUCAAGUAUAGCGAGGUAAGUGCAAAGUUAUGUUCCUCAAUGUGAUGGAAUUAUCCUAGAUUUUAUAAGAAUACACAUGGGCUGAGGAUGUGUAGGUGAGGUCAAUGAUCAAAGGAGA